rnacentral:rRNA from 1 species
GACGAACGCUGGCGGCGUGCUUAACACAUGCGAGUCGAACGGAAAGGCCCUGCUUUUGUGGGGUGCUCGAGUGGCGAACGGGUGAGUAACACGUGAGUAACCUGCCCUUGACUUUGGGAUAACUUCAGGGAACUGGGGCUAAUACCGGAUAGGAGCUCCUGCUGCAUGGUGGGGGUUGGAAAGUUUCGGCGGUUGGGGAUGGACUCGCGGCUUAUCAGCUUGUUGGUGGGGUAGUGGCUUACCAAGGCUUUGACGGGUAGCCGGCCUGAGAGGGUGACCGGCCACAUUGGGACUGAGAUACGGCCCAGACUCCUACGGGAGGCAGCAGUGGGGAAUAUUGCACAAUGGGCGGAAGCCUGAUGCAGCAACGCCGCGUGCGGGAUGACGGCCUUCGGGUUGUAAACCGCUUUCGCCAGUGACGAAGCGUGAGUGACGGUAAUGGGUAAAGAAGCACCGGCUAACUACGCG